UAAUUCCUCGUACUGAAAGC
rnacentral:snRNA from 1 species